UACGGCGGUCAUAGCGGCGGGGUCACACCCGGUCUCGUUUCGACCCCGGAAGUUAAGCCCGCCAGCGAUCCCGGGUGUACUGCCCUC
rnacentral:rRNA from 1 species